AUGCCACCAUUCACACGAAUUUGUGAUGGUUUCUGUUGGUGCUUCAUAUUAAUUUAUUUGACACAAGGGAGAUUUGUGCAGGUGCAGACCCUCAAAAGACCUUCUAAAACACCAAAAGAGAGAAAGGAAAUGCUAAGGUGGCAAGUAGCUUCAAAGAAGAUGUGCCCUGGGCUGCUACUUCUGGAGUUCUACAAAGUUUCAACAGGAACAGACACAGGAAGCAAGGAAGUGGAGAAACUGGAAGAAUGUGGAUGCAAUGGGGGUAAAUUAGCCCAAUAAAUCAUAGCUGUUUCAAAAGGAUCAUGUCAUCCCUAUUUGUCCAAGGUCCACUCUUUCAGUCUGGAAUCUUCUGCCUGCCAUAGUGAUCUGACCAAAUCAUGCAUAUCAGCACCAAAAAAAAAGAGGUGAAACAAACAACUUGUAAAAUUGAAUAUAUACUAUAGACAAGCUGCAGCAGGAAGACACCUACCUUUCCUUUGCAAAGAUGCCAGCUCUGCGAUUGGUGCCUGCCUGUGCCCGCGUUAAAGGGGAAAUCUGAUCAGACCUGAAGGAUUAGAAUACAUCUGUUAAACUUUUUAAGAUCUUAGACUUUUCUCCCCCACCACCAGGUUUGCAGCACAACUCAUUCAUAUAUAAAUCUCCAUAUGCUUCUCCUUAAUGCACUUGGCCUUAUGAGACGUAGUUCACACCACCUGGAUGGUGUUACCUAACAAAUUUCUUAAGCUUAUAUGAAUGUAAA
rnacentral:lncRNA from 1 species